rnacentral:ncRNA from 1 species
UAUAAAUUAUUUCUAGUUUUUAUAUUUAUAUAUUAUUUAUUAUUUAUAUAAAAUUUUAUAAUUUUUAUUAUAAUUUUUAUUAAAUUAUUUUAUAAUUUUUAUUAAAUUAUUUUAUAAUUUUUAUUAAAUUUUAAUUAAAGUUAAAUUAAGUAAAAUAAAUUAAAUAUUUUCUAAAUUUUGUGCCAGCAGUUGCGGUAAAACAAAAAAUAUAAUUAAAUAUUUUAAAGAUAAAUUAAAUAUAUAAAUAAAUAUUUUAAAGAUAAUGAAUUUUGGAUAAAAUCAAAUUUUUAUUUAAAAAUAAAUUUAUUAUAUGAAUUUAAAAAUUUUUUUAAAAACUAGGAUUAGAUACCCUAUUAUAAAAAUUAAAAUUAAAAUUAUUAAUUAUUAAAAGUUAAAUUCUUAAAAUUUAAAGAAAAUGGCAGUAUUUUAAUCAAUUUAGAGGAAUUUGUUAAUUAAUUGAUAAUACACGAUUAAUUUUACUUAAUUUAUAUUUGUAUAUCGUUGUUAAAAAUUUAUUUUUAAAUAAUUAUUAAUAUUUAAAUUUUAAUAUUAUAAGAUAAAUCAAAUCAAGAUACAGUUAUUAUUAAGAAUUUUAUGAAUUACAAUAAAUAAUUUAUUUAAUUGAAUUUUUAAAUUUAAUUGUUUAAAUGAAAUUGGAUUUAAAUGUAAUUUUAUUAAGUUUAAUUUAAUGAUUAUAGUUAUAAAAUAUGUACAUAUUGCCCGUCACUCUCAUUAAAAUUUUAAUUAAUUGAGAUAAGUCGUAACAAAGUAGAGGUACUGGAAAGUGUUUCUAGAAUGUU